rnacentral:rRNA from 1 species
GACGAACGCUGGCGGCGUGCUUAACACAUGCAAGUCGAACGGAAAGGCCAUGCUCUUGUGGGGUGCACGAGAGGCGAACGGGGGAGUAAAACGCGAGUAAAAUGCCCUUGUCUUUGGGGUAACAUCAGGAAAAUGGGGAUAAUAUACGAUAGGAGCUACUGCUGCAUGGGGGGGGUUGGAGAGUGUCGGCGGUGUGGGCUGGAAUAGAGGGUUACGAGCUGGUUGGUGGGGUAGGGGCGGACAAAGGCUAUGACGGCUAGCCGGCCUGGGAGGGUGGCCGGCCACAUUGCGACUGAGAUACGGCCCAGACUCCUACGGUAGGCAACAGUGGGGAGUAUUGCACAAUGGGCGGAAGCCUGAUACAGCAACGCCGCGUGCGGAAUGACCGCCUUCGGGUUGUAAACAGCUGUCUCCUUUAACGAAGCGGGAUUGACGGUAACUAGUAAAGAAGCACCGGCUAACUACGUG